rnacentral:rRNA from 1 species
AUUGAACGCUGGCGGCAUGCUUUACACAUGCAAGUCGAACGGUAACAGGCCGCAAGGUGCUGACGAGUGGCGAACGGGUGAGUAAUGCAUCGGAACGUGCCCAGUCGUGGGGGAUAACGCAGCGAAAGCUGCGCUAAUACCGCAUACGAUCUAUGGAUGAAAGCGGGGGACCGUAAGGCCUCGCGCGAUUGGAGCGGCCGAUGUCAGAUUAGGUAGUUGGUGGGGUAAAGGCUCACCAAGCCAACGAUCUGUAGCUGGUCUGAGAGGACGACCAGCCACACUGGGACUGAGACACGGCCCAGACUCCUACGGGAGGCAGCAGUGGGGAAUUUUGGACAAUGGGCGCAAGCCUGAUCCAGCAAUGCCGCGUGCAGGAAGAAGGCCUUCGGGUUGUAAACUGCUUUUGUACGGAACGAAAAGGCUCUGGUUAAUACCUGGGGCUCAUGACGGUACCGUAAGAAUAAGCACCGGCUAACUACGUGCCAGCAGCCGCGGUAAUAC